rnacentral:rRNA from 1 species
AUUGAACGCUGGCGGCAGGCCUAACACAUGCAAGUCGAGCGAGAGGCGGACGGGUGAGUAAUGUCUGGGAAACUGCCUGAUGUAGGGGGAUAACUACUGGAAACGGUAGCUAAUACCGCAUACCAUCAGAUGGGCCCAGAUGGGGUUUGCGAGUAGGGGGGGUAACGGCUCACCAAGGCGACGAUCCGUAGCUGGUUUGAGAGGACGACCAGCCACACUGGGACUGAGACACGGCCCAGACUCCGACGGGAGGCAGCAGUGGGGAAUUUUGGACAAUGGGGGAAACCCUGAUCCAGCCAUCCCGCGUGUGUGAUGAAGGCCUUCGGGUUGUAAAGCACUUUUGGCAGGAAAGCGGUACCUGCAGAAUAAGCACCGGCUAACUACGUGCCAGCAGCCGCGGUAAUAC